rnacentral:misc_RNA from 1 species
AAGUCGUAACAAGGUUUCCGUAGGUGAACCUGCGGAAGGAUCAUUAACGAAUGUUUCUUCAUUCAAUGUAUGUGAACUUCGGAUCUGCACGACAUAGUUGAAGAAUGCCAGACUGGCUCAUUUAGAGUUUGUUGAAGCUUUGAAACUGUGCGGAUCCACUGAAGAUUGAUGGACUUUGAGCCAUCAGUCGACUAACUAACCAUCAACGAUCAUGAACUUUGACAGACACUUUGAAUUCAAGUGUUUAAACUUAAUUCAGAGACAACUUUUAGCAAUGGAUCUCUAGGCUCUC